UGGAGGGUUGAGAAGGUUGGGCAGCUGGUCAGCAGUGCUACCUCAACUGGUUACAGCCUCCUAGAUCAAAGCUCAGAUACAGCAGCUCAACCCAAACCACCUUCCAGGUGGGCUGAGUGCUGUAUCUG